rnacentral:ncRNA from 1 species
AAAGAAGCGCAGAAAAGGAAUAGUAGAGAUGGGAGCGCACUUCAGAGAGGCUGCAAUGGUGGAAGCAGCUGUGCAGAACAUUUUGAACCGACCCUUGGAGCUUUGCCCCAAUAAGGCAGCGUAGGUCCGGCGUUAACGGAUGCAGAGCGAACAUGCAGAGUGCAUGUUAAUUGGGGUGGUACCGCCGGAUAUCCGGUCCCUUUG